GAGGGAGGUGACUCAGGAUUCCGCUGCCUGCCCUGGUGCAGGGAAGGACGGGGCUGCUUCUCCGUCCUUCCAGAGGACAGGGCUGGUCGCCCCAGGUCUCUGACAGGCCACACAGGGCCUGCUCUGGGCUGCAGGGGGCGGAAGGUGCUGGAUGCUGACGUGAUGUUUGGGUUGGCGCCCUGGAGCAGAACAAUUCACGGUUUUACGUCCAGGGUGUGGGGGAAGGAAAAGAAGAGAGGGCAGGAAGCCAGUGGUGGGCCGGGGCGGGACAUUCCAGACCUCAUCGGGGGCCUGGGCGUCCCCCUGCUCGGCCUGUCUGGGGCCUCCCUGCCCACAGUCCUGACUCUACUCCUGAAACCGCCCCUCUGGGGCUCCCCCACACCCACUUGGGUGACUCAGCUGUUUUCCUCAGUGGCCCCCAGGCUGAGAGGUCACAGCCCUCGGGUCCACCCCUGCCCGGACUCUCCCAGGCUCCCUACUGCCCAGGGACCGAGUGGACACGGUGAGGCCCUCCAGACCCGGCACUGCUGACCUCACCAGGCACCUCAGGGUCACCUGCAUUGGGUCUAGGCCCCUUGCCUCAGUUUCCCUUCCUGGUUCCACAUCUUCACCUGCCCAACUCGCCUGAGCUAUCUGACAAGGGGGAGAGGAGAAGGGCGGCCAGCUCGGGCCCUGCUGGGAACGGCCCUGCACUGGGGGCCUGUAGGUUAAGGGACUGGCCAGGGCCGAAGCACCAAGGCGGGGGUGGAGCAGGACGGGGAGGGGAUGCACUCGGUUGGGGGACCCCAGGGAAAAUGUGGGGCUCCCAGGGCAGGCAGGCAGGGACAGCAAGGGGAGACCAGAGCCGAGUGUCCUGUGGAGGAGAGGGGACAGGGGAGGAAGCAGAGCCUUGCAACCACCGCCCAGCCGAGUGGGCAGGUAAGCGCCAUUUUCACUCAAUCCUUGCUCCCCACGAGGCCCACUCCGGCACGGAGCCUGCCGUGACCCCCAUGAGGGGCUGUCAUGACAUCGAGCUCUGCUCAGCCUGAGACGUGACUAAUUAUCUGCAGAAUGAGCCACCCCGUUUUCGAGGAAAUUAGGUUUUAAAAAUAGUCGGGGGAGGAGAGGCGUGCCGCGCCGCAGAGCCGGGAGGUGGCCCCUCUGAGCAGUUUCCUCUGGCCAGACUGAGUGCCCGAGGCGGGGGCUCUGCCGCUGGGGCCCCUCUCUCCUGGCCCCAUCACAGGACCUGGCGGCAACGCGACCCGGGCCUGCGGCACACGGCUCUGAUUGCUGGCUGCACGGUGACCUCAUCGGCCACCCCACCUCCCUGUGUGCCCGGGGCUUCUCUCCCAGCCUCAGUCUCUGCCUGUAAAGUGUGGCCGAAGCCAGCUCGAGCCCUCGAGGCACUGCCGUUCUCCACGGGGACACAUGGCCACCUCUGCACCCGCUGUUCCCUGGCCUGUGCCCGGUCUCUGCCCUGGCCCUGCCGUGACCCCUGGACGCCGUGUCCCACACCAGCCACCUUUGCACCCCACCGACGCCCCCCCAUCCUGCAGACCAGCCUGGUCUCUCCUGGUGACCCCGGGGACUCCCUCAGGACGGGGCCUGCCCUGGGCUGACAGCCUGGGCGUUUGUUGACUGACUCAUGGACUGACAGAUACCCGUUCCUCUUCUCUCUGCACACAGGCCUCUGCCAGAGCUUCCUCUCCACAUCUGUCCGCGUGGACACUGAGGCCGCGAAUGACUAAACUGCGGGAGGAGGCGGACUGUCAGGCUGGCUCCACAGUAAGACCCAGAAGUCCCACCCGGCCUGACCAGGCAGCCACUCCUCAAGGCUUCAUCUGACACAUGGGGAAACUGAGGCUGGGAGAGGUGGAAGGAUUCCGAAAACGUUGGGGAGAAACCACAUGGCCAGGCUUCCUGCGCGAUCGUCUCUAACCUCAUACAGGCCUGGCGUGGUAGGCAAUGGCGUCCCUGUUUGGGGACAGGAAGCACCCGACUGACGGUCCCCACCGGGAAGUGACGAGAGACGUGAACUCAGGUACCUGCCUGGCCCUGCAGCCCCAAGACAGGUGAGUCGCCGUAAACUGUCACCCGGUACAUCCGCGGUCCCGGGCACCCACCGUUCCCAGCACACCUCGGGGAGUGGCCCGCCUGGGCACCAGCACACCUCGGGGAGUGGCCCGCCUGAGCUUGGUUCUAAGCCCUGUGGUGUUUGGGUUCGGUCAACCUUAGAAAUCACAAUGUUUUGGAGAAAAACCUGGGUUUCUCCAAAAACAGGCCGAUCUAAAAAUAAAAGGCUGCACCAUCACUCAGUCCCGCCCAGCACGCUCGCCUCUGCCUUCGUCCCCCACGGCCCGCUCCCCGGCGGUGUGUGGCCAGAAGGUGCCUAUGGACAUCUGAUCCAGCUGCCACCUAAUUCAUGAUCACUGUUUGACAGGCCGGGAAAUGGGUAUUUGGGGACAUCUACUAAGUUACCCAAAGCCAACGGUGAAAAACUCUGUGAUCCCAUCUAUGAAUCCAGAAAAACCUUCAACGAAAUUCAGUAUGAAUUUCAUGUCCCCCCAAAACACUACCAACAAAGAAAAAAAGGAGAGAAAAGGA